CCGAGGGAACUAUGGCAAUGACCAUGACCACUGCAGUGGCGUCGCCGUCCCGCCGGCUGCUUAUCGACUCUCGCUAUAGUACCGUCAGCACUAUCCCCAAGAAUGUGGCAAUUUACCCAGCAACAGCAGUUACAAAUAAGGGGCUAUUGAAGCACUGUAUAUCCUCGCAAGGAUGCGUAAGAUCUCUGGUGAAACCAGUAUCGGCUGCUAGUUCAGGGCUAGAGGCAGAUUUGGCUGAUGAACGCCUUAAAAAUGCAAAGAUAGUUGUUGAAUCCAAAGAAGCUGAGAAGAUACAAGUCAGAGUAGAUGUGAACGAGGAGUACACAGAAAUGGUUUUCGACAGCGUUUUGACAAAAUUAGCAAAAUCAGAGCAACCAAUUCCAGGCUUCCGCAGGGAAAAAGGAGGGAAAACAUCCCAGGUUCCUAGGGAAUUUCUACCGCAGAUACUUGGUGAAGAGCGAGUUACCAAUUCUGUAAUACGAGAAAUUAUCAACUUAACUCUUGCUGAUUAUGUGAAGAAGGAGAAUUUGGCGGUGAAGGAUAACAAGAUUAGCAUCACACAAACUGCGGAUGAACUCAUGUCAUCCUUUGCUCCGGGAACUGAAUUCGGGUUCAACGCCAUCUUAGAACUUGAAAAAUCAAAAACUGAAGCCACCACAUAAACCCACAGAAGAAGAUUUUGCAACAAAUCUAAGAAAGGCAGAGGGGGAGAUACAAAUUUUUACAUGUGGACAUGAAAACUAAGCAUGGUAGUAAAAUUUUCCAUUGUCAUUCCUGAUGACAUGGUGAGAGUUGUAGUUCCUGGGUCUAGAGAUAUUGUUAACUAUUGUGGCUUGAUUAUGCGGCACACUAUAUUGUUCAGAGAUGAUAAUUGGCAGGCAAUAAUUACAAAAACAUGGAGAAGCGAUGUAGUUGAAGGUUAAGGUAACAAUUUACUUUCAAUGUCAAAUUAACUUCUUGUUGCAUGUGUUAUUACUUUCAAUAGUUUUACAUAUUUUAUCAGGAUAAACUUGAAACUAGUGGUAUGCGAGAACAUGUGUUGCAAGCCAUUGUGAUUGACAGUCUGACACUAUGCAAAGGCUUUUUAGAGCAUGGAACACUCGAUGCAUGCUGACUACUCCCGUUAUGCCACUGAUAAAGAGAGACCUUCCAUAAACUGUAUGAUGUUACACCUGAUGACUGGGUGUUUCUUGUAGGACUUUUUAGAAGUCCCGCAUUCAAGGUUAUGAAUGAGUGGAACAAGCUAACCGGGAAAAACAAAUAACUAAGCACUCUUGUGGCUCAAAGUCAUUUACAGAAGUGAAGGAAUCAUUGCUCCAGGAAAUUGUGGCUCAACAGCAAUCUGAAGAAAAUG